rnacentral:rRNA from 1 species
UACGUAGGGUGCAAGCGUUGUCCGGAAUUAUUGGGCGUAAAGAGCUCGUAGGCGGUCUGUUACGUCGGCUGUGAAAACCUGGGGCUCAACCCCGGGCCUGCAGCCGAUACGGGCAGACUAGAAUUCGGUAGGGGAGACUGGAAUUCCUGGUGUAGCGGUGAAAUGCGCAGAUAUCAGGAGGAACACCGGUGGCGAAGGCGGUUCUCUGGGCAUUACCUGACGCUGAGGAGCGAAAGCAUGGGGAGCGAACAGG